rnacentral:rRNA from 1 species
UACGUAGGCAGCAAGCGUUGUCCGGAAUUAUUGGGCGUAAAGAGCUCGUAGGCGGCUUGUUGCGUCUGCCGUGAAAAUUCACAGCUUAACUGUGGACGUGCGGUGGAUACGGGCAGGCUAGAGUUCGGUAGGGGAGACUGGAAUUCCUGGUGUAGCGGUGAAAUGCGCAGAUAUCAGGAGGAACACCGGUGGCGAAGGCGGGUCUCUGGGCCGAUACUGACGCUGAGGAGCGAAAGCGUGGGGAGCGAACAGG